AUAGCGUAUAUUAAAGUUGUUGCAGUUAAAAAGCUCGUAGUUGAAUUUUGGACCUGGCUGGGUGGUCUUGCCGCAAGGUUAGCACUGCUCUGGUCGGGUCUUUCCUUCUGGGGAACCUGUGUGCUCUUAAUUGAGUGCGCAGGGGAGCCAGGACUUUUACUUUGAAAAAAUUAGAGUGUUUAAAGCAGGCUUACGCCUGAAUACAUUAGCAUGGAAUAAUAGAAUAGGACUUUGGUUCUAUUUUGUUGGUUUCUAGGACCGAAGUAAUGAUUAAUAGGGAUAGUUGGGGGCAUUAGUAUUUAAUUGUCAGAGGUGAAAUUCUUGGAUUUAUGAAAGACUAACUUCUG
rnacentral:rRNA from 1 species